rnacentral:lncRNA from 1 species
AUAAUUGACCUAGAAUACUUUUAGAAGCACCAACCCCUUGGUGCUUCUAAGUUUCUCGCCCCUGGAUCUACUCUUUAAUUACUAAUACCCUCGGAUCAAAAACUAUUACACCUACCACCACCUACCACCAUCAUCUUAACUCUACAUCUCUCCAUCCAAUGGUUAAAAACUCAAAAGCACCACCCCCAUGGUGCUUUUGAGAGUAUUCUAGCUCAGCUAUAUAUAUAUAUAUAUAUAGAUAUAGAGUUGGACUGGGUUACUAUUAGUAGCAAAAUUUCAUUGUUGCUACCAGUUUUUUAGUCUUUGGAUCAACUCUUUUCAUUAUUUUUAACCAUUGGAUUAAAUACUAUAACCCAGUGGGGACCACUCAACCCUAGGGGGACCACUUAACUCUAACCGACUAAUAUCAUCCUCACCCUACAAUUUUUCAUCCAAGGGUUAAAAACUUGAUAGCAAAAAGAGCGUUUUACUAUUAAUAGUAUUCCAGCCUAAUUCUAUAUAUAUAUAUAUAUAUAUAUAUAUAUAGAGAGAGAGAGAGAGAGAGAGAGAGAGAGAGAGAGAGAGUUGAGCUAGAAUACUAUCGAUAGCAAAUGGGCUCCGUUGCUACCCAUUUGUUUUCGAUGAUAGCGCCUCCAAAUCGACGAUCGGCACCAUUGAACAUGAUCUAUACAAAUCGAAGUGUUUAGAAAUCAAAUUUCAAAUCUUUUCGACAUCAUUUGCCUAAUGAUCAAAGUGUUUCAAAAUUUGUAAUUUUAAUGGUUGAUAUGAGGUGUUUUCUCGUUUAAGGGUGUAAAAAUAUCCAAAUCAAUUAAAUUUUUGUUAGAAAAUUCUUUAAACUAUUUAAAACAAGAUCUAUACUCUUGAUCUUAAUUACAAGACUCCUAUCAUCAUUUUUUAAAGAAUAUUCAUUUUCAGCUGUUCAUUUUUGUGUCCACUCGAUAGAUAAGAAAACAAUAUCGAAAAUGUAUGAAAUUUGAUUUCUAAACACUUCAAGUGGUAUAGAUCAUGUUCAACGGUGCCGAUCGUCGAUUUGGAAGCUCCAUCAUCGAAAACAAAUAGGUGGCAACGGAGCUCGUUUGCUAUCGAUAGUAUUCUAGUUCAACUAUAUAUAUAUAUAUAUAUAUAUAUAUAUAUAU